GAGUUUGAUUCUGGCUCAGAUUGAACGCUGGCGGAAUGCUUUACACAUGCAAGUCGAGCGGCAGCGCGGGGCAACCUGGCGGCGAGCGGCGAACGGGUGAGUAAUACAUCGGAACGUGCCCAGACGUGGGGGAUAGCCCGGCGAAAGCCGCAUUAAUACCGCAUGUGAUCUGAGGAUGAAAGCGGGGGACCUUUGGGCCUCGCGCGUUUGGAGCGGCCGAUGGCAGAUUAGGUAGUUGGUGGGGUAAAGGCUUACCAAGCCUGCGAUCUGUAGCUGGUCUGAGAGGAUGAUCAGCCACACUGGGACUGAGACACGGCCCAGACUCCUACGGGAGGCAGCAGUGGGGAAUUUUGGACAAUGGGCGAAAGCCUGAUCCAGCCAUUCCGCGUGCAGGACGAAGGCCCUCGGGUUGUAAACUGCUUUUGUACAGAACGAAAAAUCUCUGG
rnacentral:rRNA from 1 species